rnacentral:rRNA from 1 species
CACGUAGGGGGCGAGCGUUGUCCGGAUUUAUUGGGCGUAAAGAGCUCGUAGGUGGCUUAGUAAGUCGGGUGUGAAACCUCCAGGCUCAACCUGGAGACGCCACCCGAUACUGCUAUAGCUUGAGUCCGGUAGGGGAGCGUGGAAUUCCUGGUGUAGCGGUGAAAUGCGCAGAUAUCAGGAGGAACACCGAUGGCGAAGGCAGGUCUCUGGGCAUUAACUGACGCUGAGGAGCGAAAGCAUGGGGAGCGAACAGG